CAAUAGCGUAUAUUAAAGUUGUUGCGGUUAAAAGCUCGUAGUUGGAUUUCUGCCGAGGACGACCGUUCCGCCCUCUGGGCGUCUUCUGGCUCGGCCUGGGCAUCUUCUUGGAGAACGUAGCUGCACUUGACUGUGUGGUGCGGUAUCCAGGACUUUACUUGAGGAAAUUAGAGUGUUUCAAGCAGGCACACGCCUUGAAUACAUUAGCAUGGAAUAAUAAGAUAGGACCUCGGUUCUAUUUUGUUGGUUUCUAGAGCUGAGGUAAUGAUUAAUAGGGAUAGUUGGGGCGAUUCGUAUUUCAUUGUCAGAGGUGAAAUUCUUGGAUUUAUGAAAGACGAACUUCUGCGAAAGCAUUUGCCAAGGAUGUUUUCAUUAAUCAAGAACGAAAGUUGGGGCUCGAAGAUGAUCAGAUACCG
rnacentral:rRNA from 1 species